GACGUAGGGCGCGAGCGUUGUCCGGAAUCAUUGGGCGUAAAGCGCGUGUAGGCGGCCCGAUAAGUCCGCUGUGAAAGUCCAGGGCUCAACCCUGGGAUGCCGGUGGAUACUGUCGGGCUCGAGUCCGGAAGAGGAGUGUGGAAUUCCUGGUGUAGCGGUGAAAUGCGCAGACAUCAGGAGGAACACCAAUGGCGAAGGCAGCACUCUGGGACGUGACUGACGCUGAGACGCGAAAGCGUGGGGAGCAAACAGG
rnacentral:rRNA from 1 species